CACUCCUACGGGAGGCAGCAGUGGGGAAUUUUGGACAAUGGGCGAAAGCCUGAUCCAGCAAUGCCGCGUGAGUGAAGAAGGCCUUCGGGUUGUAAAGCUCUUUUGUCAGGGAAGAAACGGUGAAAGCUAAUAUCUUUUGCUAAUGACGGUACCUGAAGAAUAAGCAACGGCUAACUACGUGCCAGCAGCCGCGGUAAUACGUAGGGUGCAAGCGUUAAUCGGAAUUACUGGGCGUAAAGCGUGCGCAGGCGGUUUUGUAAGUCUGAUGUGAAAUCCCCGGGCUCAACCUGGGAAUUACAUUGGAGACUGCAAGGCUAGAAUCUGGCAGAGGGGGGUAGAAUUCCACGUGUAGCAGUGAAAUGCGUAGAUAUGUGGAGGAACACCGAUGGCGAAGGCAGCCCCCUGGGUCAAGACUGACGCUCAUGCACGAAAGCGUGGGGAGCAAACAGGAUUAGAUACCCUUGUAGUCCC
rnacentral:rRNA from 1 species